rnacentral:sRNA from 1 species
UUUGUGCUUGGAAAACAAAGAACAGAGCUUGGGGCCCUCUUCUCCUGGGGGUGGUGGCAGGCCCAGAGGCUGUUGACAGGACCAGAGGCUGGAGCUCAGGGCUGGGCCUGGCAGGAGCAGGCUGCAGCCCCAGAGAUCCAGGAGGGGCCCUGCCGUUGAGGCCCCGCCCUCCCCACCCUGAGGUGGGGGCCCACCAGGAUGAGCAAGCUGCCCAGGGAGCUGACCCGAGACUUGGAGCACAGCCUGCCUGCCGUGGCCUCCCUGGGCUCCUCGCUGUCCCACAGCCAGAGCCUCUCCUCGCACCUCCUUCUGCCGCCUGAGAAGCGAAGGGCCAUCUCUGAUGUCCGCCGCACCUUCUGUCUCUUCGUCACCUUCGACCUGCUCUUCAUCUCCCUGCUCUGGAUCAUCGAACUGAAUACCAACACAGGCAUCCGUAAGAACUUGGAGCAGGAGAUCAUCCAGUACAACUUUAAAACUUCCUUCUUUGACAUCUUCGUCCUGGCCUUAUUCCGCUUCUCUGGACUGCUCCUGGGCUAUGCCGUGCUGCGGCUCCAGCACUGGUGGGUGAUUGCGGUCACGACGCUGGUGUCCAGUGCAUUCCUCAUUGUCAAGGUCAUCCUCUCUGAGCUGCUCAGCAAAGGGGCAUUUGGCUACUUGCUCCCCAUCGUCUCCUUUGUCCUCGCCUGGUUGGAGACCUGGUUCCUUGACUUCAAAGUCCUACCCCAGGAAGCCGAAGAGGAGCGAUGUGAGUGCUCGCGGGUAGGGGGGUGCAGCGAGGGUUACCCCAGCCCCAAGAGAGGGGAGUUGCGGGCAUGAGAGUCAGUCUGAAGCAUCUUGCCACCUCUGAGCAGCCUCCAGUAGCCUGAGGGGGAGCUUGGGUGGGGGUACCCCAGGCUGCUAGGGUGUAACUGUCCU